GACGAACGCUGGCGGCGUGCUUAACACAUGCAAGUCGAACGGAAAGGCCCCUUUGGGGGUACUCGAGUGGCGAACGGGUGAGUAACACGUGAGUAACCUGCCCUUGACUUCGGGAUAACUUCAGGAAACUGGGGCUAAUACCGGAUAGGAAUCCUUGCUGCAUGGUGGGGGUUGGAAAGCUUCGGCGGUUUUGGAUGGACUCGCGGCUUAUCAGCUUGUUGGUGGGGUAGUGGCUUACCAAGGCUUUGACGGGUAGCCGGCCUGAGAGGGCGACCGGCCACAUUGGGACUGGGAUACGGCCCAGACUCCUACGGGGGGCAGCAGUGGGGAAUAUUGCACAAUGGGCGGAAGCCUGAUGCAGCAACGCCGCGGGCGGGAUGACGGCCUUCGGGUUGUAAACCGCUUUCAGCAGGGGCGAAGCUUGUGGUGACGGUACCUGCAGAAGAAGCACCGGCUAACUACGUG
rnacentral:rRNA from 1 species